rnacentral:rRNA from 1 species
GAUGAACGCUGGCGGCGUGCCUAAUACAUGCAAGUCGAGCGAACGGACGAGAAGCUUGCUUCUCUGAUGUUAGCGGCGGACGGGUGAGUAACACGUGGAUAACCUACCUAUAAGACUGGGAUAACUUCGGGAAACCGGAGCUAAUACCGGAUAAUAUUUUGAACCGCAUGGUUCAAAAGUGAAAGACGGUCUUGCUGUCACUUAUAGAUGGAUCCGCGCUGCAUUAGCUAGUUGGUAAGGUAACGGCUUACCAAGGCAACGAUGCAUAGCCGACCUGAGAGGGUGAUCGGCCACACUGGAACUGAGACACGGUCCAGACUCCUACGGGAGGCAGCAGUAGGGAAUCUUCCGCAAUGGGCGAAAGCCUGACGGAGCAACGCCGCGUGAGUGAUGAAGGCCUUCGGAUCGUAAAACUCUGUUAUUAGGGAAGAACAUAUGUGUAAGUAAAUGUGCACAUCUUGACGGUACCUAAUAAGAAAGCAACGGCUAACUACGUG